rnacentral:tRNA from 2 species
AAAAAGAUAAGCUAAGAAAGCUAAUGGGUUCAUACCCCAUCAAUAAAGGUCAACUCCUUUUCUUUUUA